CUGGUCUUGACAUCCACGGAAGUUUUCAGAGAUGAGAAUGUGCCUUCGGAACCGUGAGACAGGUGCUGCAUGGCUGUCGUCAGCUCGUGUUGUGAAAUGUUGGGUUAAGUCCCGCAACGAGCGCAACCCAUAUCCUUUGNUGCCAGCGGUCCGGCCGGGAACUCAAAGGAGACUGCCAGUGAUAAACUGGAGGAAGGUGGGGAUGACGUCAAGUCAUCAUGGCCCUUACGACCAGGGCUACACACGUGCUACAAUGGCGCAUACAAAGAGAAGCGACCUCGCGAGAGCAAGCGGACCUCAUAAAGUGCGUCGUAGUCCGGAUUGGAGUCUGCAACUCGACUCCAUGAAGUCGGAAUCGCUGGUAAUCGUGGAUCAGAAUGCCACGGUGAAUACGUUCCCGGGCCUUGUACACACCGCCCGUCACACCAUGGGAGUGGGUUGCAAAAGAAGUAGGUAGCUUAACCUUCGGGAGGGCGCUUACCCCUUUGUGAUUCAUGACUGGGGUG
rnacentral:rRNA from 1 species